GACGAACGCUGGCGGCGUGCUUAACACAUGCAAGUCGAACGGAAAGGCCCUGCUUGCAGGGUACUCGAGUGGCGAACGGGUGAGUAACACGUGGGUGAUCUGCCCUGCACUUCGGGAUAAGCCUGGGAAACUGGGUCUAAUACCGGAUAGGAGCCAUUUUUAGUGUGAUGGUUGGAAAGUUUUUUCGGUGUAGGAUGAGCUCGCGGCCUAUCAGCUUGUUGGUGGGGUAAUGGCCUACCAAGGCGGCGACGGGUAGCCGGCCUGAGAGGGUGGACGGCCACAUUGGGACUGAGAGACGGCCCAGACUCCUACGGGAGGCAGCAGUGGGGAAUAUUGCACAAUGGGGGCGAGCCUGAUGCAGCGACGCCGCGUGGGGGAUGACGGCCUUCGGGUUGUAAACUCCUUUCGCUAGGGACGAAGCUUUUUGUGACGGUACCUAGAUAAGAAGCACCGGCUAACUACGUG
rnacentral:rRNA from 1 species